AAUGCUUGGUUAAAAUAUUUUUAUAUUUAAAUGUUGUUAUAUUAUGUAUAUCUGUGUUUUACAUGUUGUACUGUUUAAAGCAAUUAAUAAUUAUAUAUGGUGUUUUUUUGCACGUAAAAUCUCACUGUCGUGACAUGAAAUUUUAAGCGCCAAAGAAUAUAGUAUUAUACAAUUAUUAAAUGUUUACGUACAGUAUAUUAUACGUAAAACAACUAUACAACAAAAUAAAACUGCUUAUAAAUAUAUAAUAGUUACUUCAAUAAUACAAAACGUUCUUCUACGUGGUUUACUAUGCAUAUAGUAUAAAUAUUUAUAUAAAGGUAGAUAUGACGACAGUCGUUAAAACUGCGUUUGUACUGCGAUAUGUUUGACGACGGUCGCGAAAACUGCCAACAGUCGUUAAAACUGCCUAGUUAUACUUGAGAACGUUGUCAAAACUGCCUUUGGAUAAAUAUAUAUUAUAUUAUAUUAUAUGUAUACAUAUAUGUAUACUCUGCACAUAUGACAGGAAGCUUAAUUUUACAUAUAUCAUUAAUUUAAUAUCUUAUUAGAGAUAUUUAGUUCUAAACAUAUUUAAAAGUUUACGAGAUUUUGGUCUUUUCUUCAUUUCGCAAUAGCAUUGGUGCAUCCGUUACCCUAGGAAUAAUGCAAUGUUAAAUCUAUGCAUGCGUAUAUUUACCAGUGCUGAAUAUGACUAGAGUGUAACUAGAGUAUGAUAUAAUAUUUUUAAAUAUCAUGUCUCCUUACCUUUUUGUCCUUUCAAUCUAAGGAAAGACUGAAGUGUGACGAUGACAAUUAUACUGAUAAGUUUGCUGUAGAAACAAGGUUUAAAUGUCACAUUCUCUAUUAA